UGCUGUUGUUAUUGCAACAAGAUAUUCUCUUUUGCGCCAGCAAUUCGGUCCUCCUAAACAACCUGAAGUUAGUAUACUUGACUACCAAUCUCAGCAGCACAAGCUUAUGCCAAUGUUGGCUUCGACCUACGCAUUCCAUUUUGCCACACUUCAUCUGGUGGAAAAAUAUUCUGAAAUGAAGAAGUCUCAUGAUGAGGAACUG
rnacentral:misc_RNA from 1 species